rnacentral:rRNA from 1 species
CUACGGGUCGCAGCAGGCGCGAAACCUCCGCAAUGUGAGAAAUCGCGACGGGGGGAUCCCAAGUGCCAUUCUUAACGGGAUGGCUUUUCAUUAGUGUAAAGAGCUUUUGGAAUAAGAGCUGGGCAAGACCGGUGCCAGCCGCCGCGGUAACACCGGCAGCUCUAGUGGUAGCAGUUUUUAUUGGGCCUAAAGCGUCCGUAGCCGGUUUAAUAAGUCUCUGGUGAAAUCCUGCAGCUUAACUGUGGGAAUUGCUGGAGAUACUAUUAGACUUGAGAUCGGGAGAGGUUAGAGGUACUCCCAGGGUAGAGGUGAAAUUCUGUAAUCCUGGGAGGACCGCCUGUUGCGAAGGCGUCUGACUGGAACGAUUCUGACGGUGAGGGACGAAAGCUAGGGGCGCGAACCGGAUUAGAUACCCCGGUAGUC